rnacentral:rRNA from 1 species
UACGGAGGGUGCGAGCGUUGUCCGGAAUCAUUGGGCGUAAAGGGCGCGUAGGUGGCCCCUCAAGCGUGCGGUGAAAGUCAGGGGCUCAACCCCUGAUCGGCCGUGCGAACUGGGAGCUUGAGCACUGUAGAGGCAGGCGGAAUUCCGGUGUAGCGGUGAAAUGCGUAGAUAUCGGAAGGAACACCAGUGGCGAAAGCGGCUUCCUGGUCCAGCACCGACGUUCAGGCACGAAAGCGUGGGAG